CAGGUGAGUUCAGCUGAAAUUAAAUGCUUUUGAUUUAAAUGCAUUACAACGUGAAGUAAGUGCAGAGCUAGUAACACACAACAAAAUAAUUGGACUCUCUGUAAGUAACAACUUUCAAGAAGCAUGAUCGCCCCUCACCUUAUGACAACACGGAUAUCUAACGUUUGGGACUCCUGAGUUAACAAUGAAAGUCGUAUCUAAGUUAACAUUCUUGAAAGGAGCGAGAGGGACAGCCAAAUAAAUCCAGUGAACGAGUGGACUCGAAACUACUUAUGCGUUCGAUAAAAAAAUAAAUAAACUGUUUUUGUUUAUUGAA